rnacentral:rRNA from 1 species
UUCCUACGGGGCGCAGCAGUGGGGGAUAUUGGACAAUGGGGGAAACCCUGAUCCAGCGACGCCGCGUGAGUGAAGAAGUAUUUCGGUAUGUAAAGCUCUGUCAGCAGGGAAGAAAGAAAUGACGGUACCUGACCAAGAAGCCCCGGCUAACUACGUGCCAGCAGCCGCGGUAAUACGUAGGUGGCAAGCGUUGUCCGGAUUUACUGGGUGUAAAGGGCGUGUAGCCGGGCUGACAAGUCAGAUGUGAAAUCCGGGGGCUCAACCCCCGAACUGCAUUUGAAACUGUUGUUCUUGAGUAUCGGAGA